UACGUAGGGUGCGAGCGUUGUCCGGAAUUACUGGGCGUAAAGAGCUCGUAGGCGGGUUUGUCGCGUUCGUCCGUGAAAACUUGGGGGCUCAACCCCAAGCUUGCGGGGCGAUACGGGCAGACUUGAGUACUGGCAGGGGAGGACUGGAAUUCCUGGUGUAGCGGGUGAAAUGCGCAGAUAUCAGGAGGAACACCGGUGGCGAAGGCGGGGUCUCUGGGCAGUAACUGACGCUGAGGAGCGAAAGCGUGGGGUAGCAAACAGG
rnacentral:rRNA from 1 species